CACAGCCGGGGGACCACAUGCUGGGGCGGCGUAUAAACCACUGAUCUCUGUUUCUCACAGUUCUGGAGGCUUGGAGCCCAGGAUCCAGGUGCCAGUGAUCUGGGGUCUGGUGAGGGGCUCCUCCUGGUUUGCAGACGGUGUCUUCUCGCUGCAUCCUUAUGUGGAGGAGGGGCUGGGGGCUCUUCUGUAAGGACACUAAUCCCAUUGUGGGGGCUCCACUGUCAUGACCUCAUCACUCCAAAGCCUCUGCCCUGGCACCAUCACUUGGGUGGAGGCUUAACAUAUGAAUUUGGGGGGACACAGACAUCCAGUGUGUGGCGUCUGUGAUUACGGGAUUAGAAAAGGAAGUAAGUACGCAGUCGAUUUCAGCGAAAGUCCUGGUGACAUGUGAGUGGUGCUGAGAGUCCCUGGGGUCUCAGAUCAUAGCGCCUGCAGUGGGACGGUAACUCCGGACGCUUGCUCUCCCUCACCAGUGCCUUCCCACCACUGUGCCAUGGGUGUGGCCUCAUGGGCACACUGCGUGCCUGUGUCUCCUCAGGCACACUGUCUGCGGCCCUGCCUCUCACCAUCCCGCAGCCCCUGGCGCUCCCGUGAGGCCUCUCUGGACCCGCCAGCGAGAGCGCCGUGGCGGAGCUGUGUGCACAUCCAGCUUUGUUCCAGUUCCCGGCUCGGCGACUAGGGCCUGCAAAGGGCAGGAAAACGUCCUUCUUUCUCCUACCCUCUUUCUGAGAGGGGCAAAUUAGGUGGACAAAGGACAGAUUGGUGAGAAAAACACAGAGGCGUUUAUUAACACGCGCGUUGCUCGCACGCGGGAUCAUGCGAGCUUGAGGAUGCACAGGGCGGGUGGGCAUCUGGUUCAAGCUGCAUCUGAACAAACACCAGUGUUUUGUUCACUGGUGACAGCACACAGAAAGAGGACCUUGGGCGUCCGGGGUCACAAACGGCGGGAAGGCAAGUACACACAGACGUGGUGGGGGAUGAGGGCCACGCUCAGCAGAGUGCGUUAUGUGGAUUCUGUUGAUGCCACUUCCUCUCCGGCCGAGAAGGGUCUGCGGCGUCCCCCAUGAUUGACUUCUGUACUUCCUGGUACUUCCCGUCUCCCUUCAGCUCGAAAUAGUCCUUACGCUGAAGUGGUCUACCUCGGAGGGCCCACUCCAGUGCCGUACGGAGACCCGAGCAGAUGAGGAGACACAAGGGUAUCAGGCAGAAUUCCCGAGGACUUAGCGUUGGGGCAGUAUUCUCGUGCAGGCAUUUUGUGGAGCCGUUAUUAGCAUCGCCAGCAUUCACGCUUUUUCCUAGACACCCAGAACAGGAGCAAUUAUAUCAAGCAAAUUAACGAAGGAGGUCACGGAAGAGUAAAGAUGAGGCAAAAAGAGAAAAGGGGAGAUGAUUUCCAGCGGGGCGCAUUUUUGCGGCCAUGUGCCGGGAAGGCGUUUAUGAAGGUAAUGAAUAUAAACUUACACCCUCCGAAAACAGAUAGAAAGUGCAGUGGAGCAUUCGAGUGGAUGAUUAAAGAGAAAAACAAAUCAGGAGGUAAAAUGACUGUGUAUGGGGGCCAGAGAGGCUCUGCGGUGAGGUCUGGUGGAAUUGUGUUCAGAGGACGCUGUAGGGAAACGCAGACGCUAUUAAGGCUAUAAAGAUCGAUAAAGAUUACAGUGAAGCUUCACGAGACAUUUUUUUCUCCACUUCCAAGCGCUUCUUCCGAGUCUGUGUAUUCCUUGGACCAGAUGUUGUAUUUCACAUCCAUCACAGUACAGGGUCUUUGCCCUGUCUUUAUCCCUGUGGCCGGCUUCAGAUGUUAUAGAAUAAUAGACCCUUUUCCUAUGAGUGUCUCUUUCCCACACAGAUACAGUAAAAUUAGGUCCACAUAGUUUUAUUUCCACUGCUCCCAUUUUUCUUUCCUUUCUGUUGUAAAUACAGACGUCAUCUGAAGGUCUUUUGUUGUCAAGGAAUGAUUUGAAAUUCCGCACUGUGUCUCUCCUGGACACGCCGUUCAUGUGAUUUCCCAGCAUUUCCGUCGCUGUCCCAGAGAGGGGUGGGGCGUUCCAGCUCAGAUGUCUGCAGACUGUGUUAGGAAAGCAUUUCUGUGACAGCUCACAGGUGGUCUGUUUUGAACAAAUGUAGCUUUUUCUCUUUUUCUACCUUACAUUUCUAUUUGUCUCUACUCUCAAGUAUUCCAGUAAAAGGGCCAACAGAAGAAUUCAAACAUCCAGAUUAUGGACGUAGGAAUUUUGAUAAAGUGAACACAGCCGUGUAUGCACAGUGUGAACCAUAAGAUAGAACUUUAUCAGCACCCCCUGGUCACUGUCCCCAAGGGUAGCCACUUGUAGUUCGUCUCCUGUCAGUUUAGUGUUCCCAGCCUCGGAGGACCUCAAGCACAGACUUGGGCACAGCUGUUUGCUUCUGCUGUUUGCCGUGUGAGCCUCCUUGUGUUGAGAUCCUGCACAGCUUGUUCGUGUCCUUGUAGGGGUGUGGCUGCACUGGUCCUUGUCACCCACUGUGAGGUCACUGGAUUGCCUUUUCCUUUCCUCCUCUCCUCAUACCUCCUCCUUAUCCUCUGCCUGUCUUCCUGGCUUGGGACUCUGGCAAACAGCACUGCUGGGCCUAUCACCUGCAUGUUCCCAGCUCUCCGGCUGGGGCCCUACAGCACCGCAUGGACGGAAGACAGAUCAGGAAGAGCAGCGCAAACAGGAGUCAGUAACCAUGUGUGUCACCCACGCACACAGGGGCGCAGAGGAAACUCCGAGGAGUGGCUGGAACCCAGCUCAAGCUGGCUCUGAACAAGUAGCACUGAAUUUGUACAGAGGUGACCAGACAAAAGAAAAGGACUUUGAGCGUCCAGGGGGGCAAAUUGUGGGAGAGCCAGAGCGAGCGCAGCCCAUUAUGUGGAUGCCUUUCCAUUCGCACCGCUCUGCAUUUCCAUGUGAGAUUUAGUUUACAAAGAAUAAUUCACGGGGACUGGAUUGGCAGUUUCUCAAAGAUACAGAUUGAACGGAAUUUUCUAAUUGUUUAUUGCUGUUACAGAACAAUAAAAUUUUCAUUAACCUUG